AACGAACGCUGGCGGCAGGCUUAACACAUGCGAGUCGAACGCCCCGCAAGGGGAGUGGCAGACGGGUGAGUAACGCGUGGGAACAUACCCUUUUCUACGGAAUAGCUCUGGGAAACUGGAAUUAAUACCGUAUACGCCCUACGGGGGAAAGAUUUAUCGGGGAAGGAUUGGCCCGCGUUGGAUUAGCUAGUUGGUGGGGUAAAGGCCUACCAAGGCGACGAUCCAUAGCUGGUCUGAGAGGAUGAUCAGCCACAUUGGGACUGAGACACGGCCCAAACUCCUACGGGAGGCAGCAGUGGGGAAUAUUGGACAAUGGGCGCAAGCCUGAUCCAGCCAUGCCGCGUGAGUGAUGAAGGCCUUAGGGUUGUAAAGCUCUUUCACCGAUGAAGAUAAUGACGGUAGUCGGAGAAGAAGCCCCGGCUAACUUCGUG
rnacentral:rRNA from 1 species